rnacentral:rRNA from 1 species
CCUACGGGUGGCAGCAGUGGGGAAUAUUGCACAAUGGGGGAAACCCUGAUGCAGCGACGCCGCGUGAGUGAAGCAGUCUUUCGGUAUGUAAAGCUAUAUAAGCAGGGCAGAAAAUGACGGUCCCUGACUAAGAAGCCCCGGCUAACUACGUGCCAGCAGCCGCGGUAAUACGUAGGGGGCAAGCGUUAUCCGGAGUUACUGGGUGUAAAGGGAGCGUAGACGGCAAGACAAGUCAGAAGUGAAAGACCCGGGCUCAACCCUGGGACUGCUUUUGAUACUUCCGGGCUGGAGUGCAGGAGAGGUAAGCGGAAUUCCUGGUGUAGCGGUGAAAUGCUUAGAUAUUAGGAGGAACACCAGUGGCGAAGGCGGCUUACUGGACUGUAACUGACGUUGAGGCUCGAAAGCGUGGGGAGCAAACAGGAUUAGAUACCCCAGUAGUC